AUGCUAUCAGUAAUAGAUGGAGAAUAUCCAUUCCCUUCCCUGCCUAGCAUGCAAUACCUAUACCUUGCGUCUUGCAACCUUACCAAAAUACCAAGUAUGUUGAGGCAUCAAUAUGAGAUGGAGGAUGUUGACCUUUCAAGCAAUAGUAUAGAUGGAGUUAUACCAUGUUGGUUGUGGGAGAAUGGGAAGAAUAGCAUCCGGUUCAACCUUUCACACAACAUGUUCACUACCCUGGAGAAGUGUACACCACUUAAUCCUAUCAUAAGGAGUUUGGGUUUUCUUGAUCUUAGUUCCAACAGACUUGAAGGGAAUUUACGGAUACCACUCAUAUCCAGAAUAUUCGGUGGAGUUUUGUUAGUUUACUCCAACAAUAGCUUCUCUUCAAUUACACCGGCCGUGGAUAUACCUAUCAACGGCUCCAUCAAGCUUGAUUUGUCCAAGAAUAAACUAAAUGGUCAUAUACCAACUUCAAUUUGUGGUGCAAACCAUGAAAUGCUUGAGUUGUCAUAUAACAACCUUACUGGCCCGGUUCCAUCCUGCUUGAUUCAACAUGGCUGUGAAAAUGUUAAAGUUGAGAAACAACCAAUUAGAUGGGAUGCUGCCUGGAAAUAUUGGAGAAGGCUGUAUGCUUCAGACAAUAGAUUUGAACAGCAACCGAAUUGA
rnacentral:rRNA from 1 species